UCUGUGUAUUACUCUACCCCUAACAUGAAUAAGGAACAUUCAUAGCUCCUCGGUACUCUCAUAAUCUGUACAGUGUACGGUCUAUUCUGUCUGGUUAUCGGUUCUUUCUUUUUUAAAAAAAAAACUUAUAUUGUUCAGAGAAGCUCAGCAUAAUUUUAGUGAAAGUUCUUGAAGUCGGAAUACAAUGAAGGAAUUGGCAGAUUAUUCCCCAUCGAAAAUAAUUUGCAACAAUGACAGCUUAUUUAUUUGGAGGAGAGGUCUCAUUUUCUACAUAAAGUAGUGCCUUGAAGAUGUAUUCAUGGUGGAAACUAA
rnacentral:lncRNA from 1 species